AGUAAAAUAGUGAGUGGCUCAUAUUUGAAGAGAGAAAAAAUCAUAUGGUUAAACUUAUUUUCUCACUGCACUUUUUCACUUAUGUUUCAUACACAAUUGAGUCAACAAUUUCAGUGGUCCAGAUUGCAUUACGAGUAUGCCAUGUUAUAUGCAAUUUCUCACUCUGUGCCAUAUUUCUAAUCAUCAUCUAUAGUACAAACUAUUUUCUUUGAAUUCAAAUUACAAACAUUUAUAAUAGAUGUUUAUGAUAGAUUAUUCUCAUUUCUGAAGUCAAUGAAGUACACUUUUGUAAUAUCAAUCCACUGCGACUGAUAUAUUGAGUUUAUAAUCAUCACAGUGGGAGGAGCUUCAAGGUGGGUUUGAGCAACUAGAUUUGCAGCAUGUGUUCAUAUUUGGCAGGUGAUUCAUCCAGCACUGAAUGUUUUAGCUAAUCUUGUUUGCCCUCCUCCUUCGAUCAGCAACAAACCUUCUGUGCUUGUACAAGGCUUUACAAGGGGCAGAGGAGGGUGAGACAGCUAUGAUGCUCCUAUCUCCAUGCUCUCCAUCUCCACCUGCUACCACUGCUGUAGAUUUUUCUCGUCACCAAAAUGGAAGCCAAUUCACCAUGUUCCUCACAGCUCCAUUACAGGCUUUCUGCCACUUGAUUGGUUAUUAUGGCUCCAAUAUCCAAAUGGAUGUAUAUAACAAUGCUGAGAAGUUGCUCUCAUCAUUAUUAAAUGACUGGGGAUUGAUUUUGGCAACUUCAGAUUUCCUGGACCUAGUCUGGGCUGAAAUCUUAUCCGAUCCAUUCCUAAGGCGG